rnacentral:tRNA from 1 species
GCCCUGGUGGCGCAAUCGGUAGCGCAGCCGUCUUGUAAACGGCAGGGUGCCGGUUCGAUCCCGGCCGAGGGCU